CGUGCGUAGGGCCGUUCGACGUUGCCAUGGUAACAGCACAAAAACAGCUCGGCUAAACCCGUGUAGCGUCUGGGGGAACGAUAAACUGCGCCUAAAGUAUCCGGCUGGCGGUUUGUUGUCGAGGAUAUUUCACCACCACUGAGGUUCGGAACCAGUCAGGAUGUCCAGUGACCUCGCUGGUGUGUGGGAGGUGGCGCUGAGCGACGGAGUCCACAGGAUCGAGUUUGAACACGGGACAACCACCGGGAAAAGAGUCAUCUAUGUGGACGCAAAGGAGGUUCUGAGGCGGGACUGGAUGUUCAAACUGGUCGGGAAGGAGACGUUCAGCGUGGGCCAGGCGGACACCAAAGCCACCAUCAACAUCGACGCGGUCAGCGGCUUCGCCUACGAAUACACGCUGGAGAUCAACGGGAAGAGCUUGAAGCAGUACAUGGAGAACAGGUCAAAGGUCACCAGCACCUGGCUGCUCAACCUGGACGGCAUCGACUGCAGGGUGGUUCUGGAGAAAGACACCAUGGACAUUUGGUGCAAUGGAGAGAAGAUUGAAACUGCUGGCGAGUUCGUGGACGACGGCACGGAGACGCAUUUCUCCCUGGGAGACCACAGCUGCUGCGUGAAAGCCGUGAGCAGCGGGAAGCGGCGAGACGGCAUCAUUCACACGCUGCUGGUGGACGGCACCGAGGUCGCCGAGUGCACCGAGUGACCCGGUUCGGCCCGGAGUCCGUCCGUCGGACUGGAAACGUUUCCUUUAAAAUGGCUGCCGCGGCGCGGCCGGUCCACACUGGACAGAUAUAAACGCCAUAGAGUCUGUUUAGUGGCAGACGGAGCUGCUAGAAACGUCAGUCAGAAGAUUCAGCGUCUCUAAAGGGUUAUUGUCCAUUUCGAAGACCAAAGCUUUGUCCUGGCUGCUGUCUUUAGAUGUUGCUGCAGCAUUUCCAUACGAUGCUUUUUCCUGAUGAUGCCGUCUUUAGGAAGUGGCACCAGUUCCUCCUGCAUGGAGGCAGCCCCACACCAUGAUACUGCCACCGCAGAUGGGAUGAGAACUGGCUUCUUCCUUGCUGAGCGGCUGCAGGACGGGAAGCUUCUGCAAUCAUAACGGAGGCUCAGACGUCUCUGCUGAACAUUUCCUGUUCAGUUUUUUACUGGACAACCGUUUGUAUCCUAGCAACCGAAGUCAAUAAAGCAAGAUGGCAACAAAAGACAAAACCAGA